rnacentral:lncRNA from 10 species
UACUAGAGAUAAAGUUCCUUCUUUUAUUGACCUUAUAUUCUGGUGAAGAAGACAGAAAAUAAACUAAUAUAAAUAAUAAAAUAAUAAAUUGUUACAUACAAAUAUUUGCCAUUAAAAGGGAAACCAUGAUAAAGACUCACUGGGUGGUGAAACUGGGCCUAUAUCAUUCUUUAGUUUAUCAGUCGCCAUGAUGUCUCUCUUCCACCUUUCUUCACCCUACACUCUCUUUAAAAGGACAGAUGAUAUACACGUCUUCUGUAUAUUUUAAGCAACAAAUACAGUUACAACACAUAAUACAAUGCUUGGGAAACCUUUUUUGAAUGAAUAAAUAAAUGCCUGAUUAAAGAAAUGCAUAGUAGAGCAGAGCAACUUUUCCAAAGAAGAAUAA